AGGUUAGCUACUGUUAGCAAUGCCAGUUUAUGACAACGCAUUACGCUAAUUUUUGUUGUAUUAACUAUGAGAGUCUA